AGUGUCGUACGGGUGCGUAACACGUAUGCAACCUACCUUGUACAGGAGUAUAGCUCGGGGAAACUCGAAUUAACCCUCCAUAAUGUAGCGGAGAGGCAUCUCUUUGCUACUAAAACUGAGGUGGUACAAGAUGGGCAUGCGUUUGAUUAGUUAGUUGGCGGUGUAAUGGACUACCAAGACGAUGAUCAAUAGGGGACCUGAGAGGGUGAUCCCCCACACUGGCACUGAGAUACGGGCCAGACUCCUACGGGAGGCAGCAGUAGGGAAUAUUGGACAAUGGGUGAGAGCCUGAUCCAGCCAUGCCGCGUGCAGGAAGAAGGCGUUAUGCGUUGUAAACUGCUUUUGCCAGGGGAUAAAAUGACCGUGCGCGGUUAAUUGAAGGUACCUGGUGAAUAAGCCACGGCUAACUACGUGCCAGCAGCCGCGGUAAUACGUAGGUGGCAAGCGUUGUCCGGAUUUAUUGGGUUUAAAGGGUGCGUAGGUGGCUAACUAAGUCAGUGGUGAAAUAUCUCAGCUUAACUGAGAGGGUGCCAUUGAUACUGGAUAGCUUGAGUACAGAUGAGGUAGGCGGAAUUGACGGUGUAGCGGUGAAAUGCAUAGAUAUCGUCAAGAACACCGAUAGCGAAGGCAGCUUACCAAGCUGUAACUGACACUGAGGCACGAAAGUGUGGGGAUCAAACAGGAUUAGAUACCCUGGUAGUCCACACUGU
rnacentral:rRNA from 1 species